ensembl:lncRNA
CUACUACAUCAAUCAGACCACAAGGUGCCCUUUCAGGAAAGUAAUGGAGUAUAAUCAACCUAACUUCAUUGAUCUACAAGGACUACUGAAAAUUAUAAAACUUUCUUUGGGAUUCUAACAUGCCAGAAACCACUAGAAAAAGAAGUUUGAUAUCUCAGAGGUUCUCCUCAUCGUGGUAUAGAGACCAAAAUGAUACUUUCAAACUCCCAAGGUCAUUAACUGAGGAAUAAUGCCAUCUGCACCAUGAGAGUCAGUUUUGAACAAGAAAGCCUGACAGGUUUCUCCGGAAAAGUGACCAUCCAUGGAAUGAAUGAAAUGUUCCCUUUCUAUUCCAGUAAGUAAUUGACUUGUAACUAAAAAUUGAACUGGCUGCUAUGUCAACUACAAUGUGAGCGGCUGCUGGCACAGGUGUUGCUUACUCUUUAGCCUGGAAAGAAAAGGGGCUUAACCUGUGAUUAAAUUUCAAGUCAAUUGACCUCAACAUGAGAGUACAUAAUUCUCACUUGCCUAUGGAAUGGCCUGAGUCUGUUUUAACCCCGAUUCUGGCACCUGUGUUUUUAAUGUUUGGAGUAGCUAAAGCUAGAGUUGCUCGUUUGGUUAGAAAUAAAGUGGGUGGAGAACAGUUCUAAGCAAAUAACAAAUGAUGGUCAGCCGACUAAGUCUUUAAUCCAGCGCUCAAUGUGUUCUUUUCUUUUAAUGCAUUAAUUGUAAGUUCGUGUAAAUUAUUAUUCAAACUUUUUUUAAAAAAUAUGGAUUCAUGGGCAACCAUUUUAUUACUAAGGAUACAGAGUAAAUCUAAAUCUGUGAAUUACUAACAAGCAAAGGAUGUGAGAAUGAUGACACUUUCAAAUGCUUAAGUUUGCUUAUGUAACCUAUCACAGGCUUUUUAAAUAAGCCUUGCACUUUAAAGAUUUUCUUAGCCCUAGGAAUGAAAUAGCAAUAUUGUUUUUCCAGGUUUCUGUAAAUUAACAAAAGACUGUUUACUUUUAGCAAGAUGACCUUGUUUAAGUUUUGGAGACAAACAUAUAUCUACUUCUCAAAAGCAAAAUAAAAAUCAAUGACAUCUAAAAUUACCAUUUACACUUGAAGCUAUUCUCCAUGCAUUUUAUGUAAAAUGACUGCAUGCUAAGAAUAAGUCUAUAAGGUGAGAACAGCCUAGACUGUUGUUUUUUCUUUCUCAUUUCCUUUUUAACCUGAGAAUUAGAAGAAAGUACUGAUGAUGCUUGCUUAACCCUGCUUUUAGUGCCAGGCUGUGACCAGCUCUCUGUGAAACCAUUUCUGACCCUCUGCUUGCAGUGGUGAACAUGAAUUUUUCCCCUUCCUUGCCCAUCACUGUCAGUCAAUUAUAGGAUUGAACUGAACCAGAAAAUCUGGUACAGUCUGGUAAUUAGUACAAAGGGUUUCCAGUCUAGUGUAAAGACGGGGAUGCAAGAGCCCCAGCAGUCACAGAAAUCGUUUUGAUUGGCCAUGGACAUUGCCUUUUAGUGCUGCUCGGUGACUUCCUAAAGAUAUUGCCUCCUACCCUACAGGUUUUCUCCUUCAAGUACAUUAUGGACCUUUUCAAAAGUCAUGUGUGUGUGUGUGUGUGUGUGUGUGUGCGCGUGUGCGUGCAUGCGUGCGUGUGUGUGUGUGUGUGUGUGUGUGUGUAUACGUUUCUUUUUUUAGAUCCAACUUCUCCCAUUUUUAGUCUGUCAUUUUUGCCUAUCAAACAGACACAUUUUGACUUGCCCAACAAAGAACCAAGUUAUCAACACUCACAGAAACUGACAUUUUUAAUUCAAGCUUCAUUAUGUCUUUGAAUUAUGACAGUGAAGUACAAAGACGUUUUAAGAGUUUUUUCAUUAUUUUUUUAAAUCCAGCAUUGGGAUGUUUAUCUUUCUUUAGUAUUCAUAUUUCCUUUUCUAUCUUUAUUCUCAGUAAUAUAUAAUUAGCAUUAUCAAAACCAUCAGCUAUUAUCCUUUAUGACUUUUGACCUUUAUUUUUUAAUAUGUCUCAAGCUAGCAUUCUCUAAAACAAAAAUUCUAUGAGAGAUAUUAACGAAAUAUUUUAGGGUUAGAAAAACAAUGAAAUGAUUUAAAACAUGAAUCUUUUUAAAUAUCAACAUUACAUGAAUAGGCAAGUAACACAUUAUAUGAUAAAACUAUAGUGACAAAAUAAAUUUCAGAAAAAAAUUAUUCUGUAAAUCAAGCUUGCAUUUGGUGGUAAGUGUAACUUUAUAGUCUGUAGUUCAUCACACAUUUUUAACCACUACUAUGGAGUUAUUGGCUUAAUGUCAAUGGUAUUUAUAUACUUUUUGCAGAAAAAGUAAUUUUUUGUACUAAUUACCAGACUGUACCAGAUUUUUUGCAAACAUCCUCUUUGACUAUAGAUUACAAAAACUCAGUAGUCACACAUUAGAUACAACAAAAGUGUUUGGUAGCUUGUCAUUUUAACAAAUGCUGGCCUUCAAAAGAUAGAUAUAAGUACAUCUAAGGGCAAAUUUAAUGUCUGACACUCUGUACAAAACUGCAAAAGCAACAGUGCCCAAAAUAACAGAAGCAAAAGAAAGCACAAGGUUUUCCAUUUCCAAGAAUGCUAUUCUAGCACAAUCUGCAUCAUGAUUUUAGUCAUGAUGCAUAUGUGCUGUGAAUCUUUUAAAGGAUCAUUUAUUUACCCACAUCUUAAUGUAGCUUUAAAUAUCUGUUUUAUCCUACAUACAAUCUUAACAAAAGUAGUUAUGUUACCAUGUCUGGUACUUAUUUCUACAUGUCUGAAUUUUGCUAUUAAAUUUCAAGAAGGUUAAUAUUGCUUUUGUAACCCUGUCAUGAGUAAUGCAUUUUCCCAGUAAACAUGUCAUACUUUUAAAAGCUGUUCAAGAAGCAGUAUUUCUGUUGAAAGUUUUGUGUUUAUUUCUCUAUUGUUUUUUUAACCAUAAUAUAGUGUAAAGCUUUGAAAAGAAUACGCAUAUUUAUGUAAUUAACAUUUUUUGUUUUCAGCAAAACCUUGCCCAUUAAAAACGAGAAGAGUCUUAGAAAACCAUAUAAAUGGGCAACGUUUCAGUGACAAUAUUUGCAUUCAAUUUUAAUUCACCACCGAGUCUAUAUCUUGAAAUGUAUCUAUAAAGGACUGAAGGAAGAGAACAUUCUGAUAAUAGUUUUAUUUUUUAAUCUAAAAUAUAUGUUGAAAUUCCAAAGGUGCUUGCCACAUGUGGUAUGGCAGUAUUCUAUGUUCCAUUAUAUCUGAAUGCUUUGUGGGUCUGUAUAAUAUUACAGGCUUUAAUAUGGAUAUAAACAUUCUUUUCUACCUCAGCCUUACUCCUAGUGGCAGGAGUAAGGCUUGGGAAAAACUCUAAAGAUUAUCCAGUCUCAUGAUUUUCAAACUGUGUUCCCUUGAGCUCUUAGGCUCUUUGGGGCUACUUAGGGCUGUGGGGGAAGGGAGACCAAUUGGCCUCUUACCUCCUGCCUUUAUCUGCUGUGUCUAUUAGAGCCCCACGUAAAAUUGGAAUCCCAUGAUGGAGGGAAAAAGUAAAAUACUAUUGACUGAGCCUCUCUUACAGAUAAGGAAAGCAGAGUUUACUUAAAGUGGCACUCUGAAUCAGUGACAACCAACCACUUGUCCCUUAGUCUUAAACCUACUAAACUGCAAUAAACUUUUCCUACACAGUUAUGGGUCUUUUUGUAUUGUCAUCCUAAACAGCAUUACUAAAAACACACACUAAGAUAUCUAUAGCCCAGUGUUCAAAAUCAAGAUAUUUACUGAGGAUACAAUAUCAAGGUAGGUAAUGCAAUUGAGUAAAAUGUUGCAGACCAAAAUCAAGCCCUCUAUUUGGCAAUACAUUAAAUUUGGUGCAUUACUGUAGACUUUAUGUAAAAUAUUGAUUCAUUUAUUACUUAGUAAUAUUUUGUAUUUUUAAAUUUUCAAUUGUGGUUGAAAAAAACACAUCUAAACCAUUUUUUUAAGUGUAAAGUUCAAUACUUAACUAUAUUCACAUUUUUGUACCUGGGGGUAUCUUGCAUGGUGGGAAAAAUUAAUUAAUUAAGACAAAUUCAAAAGAAAAAGAAUUAAAGAAAGUAAAGCUGAAUUAAGAUGCUACUUUUCUCAAAGCAUGUAUUAUGGAAACAUGUUUUAUGGAAACUAUUCCUAUAAGAUGUGCAAAGUAAAAGAGUGACAUGGUCAAAUAAUCUUUGGAAAUAUAGCAUGUUAUGUCCCUUUAUAAGAAAUUUAUAGACUUGUAUUUUAAAAACUCUGAGAAAUCAUAUUGGAAAGAUCUCUUUGAACUAUGUAUACUAGAGUUUCCUAAACAAUUUUUCCAUAGACUUUCCUCACCUAUUUCACAUAAAAAAUCUAUUUUUAUUCUUCAGGGCUAAUGUUUUAUUGAAUACAUUUUGGGAAACUUUCCUCUAACAGCACUUUUGCACAUUAAAAAAAAAAGAUCUGUAAGGUACUAUUUAAGUUAUUUAUGUUAAAUGGUUCUGAAUUUACCAAUCCUUCAUCCUCAUUUUGUGGAUAUUAAUGGACAUCCAUUAAUUCAAUCACCCAGCAGAUAUUUACGGACAGUGCUAAAUGCUAGGAAAUACAGUAAUGAGUAAAUCAAUCUUAUCUUAUAGAGCUUAACGUCCAGGGGAAAAAAAUCACAAAGAGAGAGGGAGAGAGGAAAAA